rnacentral:lncRNA from 1 species
GCCGAUUGAAGCAAUUAGCUGAGCUCCCAUCCUGGGCCAGCCUCAUUAGGGGUGUGCAGAUGUCCACUGCUUAGGCUGACUCCUCUCCCCGGGGCAGGCUCUCUCCCAGUGAUAGCCCGCUCUUCUAUGAAGGAAGACGCAUCCUCCAGUGGACCCGGAAAAGAGACGAAGGAGAACCGGUACCUACUCGAAAAUCAGCCCUGUUGAUCUGAAGAGUAGCCCAGUCACCAUUUACCUGCAUGGAUCUGAAUUCAGAGACUGUAACUAAGUUUAGCCGAAGAUGUCAGCUUUUAUCUACAGAUCUGGAUGUGGUAUUUUUAUAGCCUUAUCAUUUAGGUAAAUAUCAAGUAAACGUAUAUUUGUAUUUUGGAAACAUUUUGAGCUAGCAAAGUGCUACUUUUUAGUAGCACAUAUUCAUGACGGAGACAACCAGUUUCACUGUGAUGUUUUCAUAGCUGUCCAUCGAGGACUUGAUCAGUCAUCCACUCGUCACCUGCCUUGUACUUGUUCCCCUCUUAC